rnacentral:rRNA from 1 species
CAGCCGCCGCGGUAAUACCGGCAGUUCGAGUCGCAGCCACAUUUAUUGGGUCUAAAAACAUCUGUAGCUUGUUAUGUAAGUCUUCUGUGAAAUCCUAUAUCUCAAGUAUAGGGCGAGCAGGAGAUACUGCAUAGCUAGAGUCCGGAAGGCGUAAGGAGAACGUAUGGGGUAUCGGUAAAAUGAGUUGAUCCUAUGCGGACUAACGAUAGCGAAGGCACCUUACGAGUACGGUUCUGACAGUCAGAGAUGAAGGCUAGGGUCGCGAAAGGGAUUAGAUACCCCUGUAGUCCUAGCAGUAAACACUGCACACUAAACAUUGGUAUCUCUUCGUGAGGCAUCAGUGCUGUAGGGAAGCCGUAGAGUGUGCUACCUGGGAAGUAUAGUCGCAAGGCCGAAACUUAAAGGAAUUGGCGGGGGGGCACUACAACGGGUGACGCGUGCGGUUCAAUUAGAUUCUACACCGUGAACCUCACCAGGAGCGACAGCAGAAUGAAGGUCAGUCUGAAGGGCUUACCUGACACGCUGAGAGGAGUUGCAUGGCCGACGUCAGCCUGCGUCGUGAGAUGACCUGUUAAAUCAGGUAACAGGCGAGACCCAUGUGUAUAGUUACUUCGUAGAAGCACAUUAUACAGACUGCCGUGGUAACACGGAGGAAGGUAUGGGCUACGUUAGGUGAGUACUGCCCGAAUCCCCUGGGCUGCACGCGCGCGUCAAUGCUGCAUUCAAAAGGAUGCAACUCUGAAAAGAGAAGCUAAUCCUCAAUAUCCAGCUUAGUUUAGAUUGAAGUUUGCAACCCAGCUUCAUGACACUGGAAUCCGUAGUAAUCGUUUAUUAGCAGUGAACGGUGAAUAAGUCCCUGCCCCUUGCACAC